rnacentral:rRNA from 1 species
GAACGAGAAAGUGGAGCAAUCCAUGAGUACAGUGGCGACCGGGUGAGUAACACGUGACUACCUGCCCUCGAGUGGGGAAUAACUCCGGGAAACCGGGGCUAAUACCGCAUAACAUCGAGAGAUCAAAGCAGCAAUGCGCUUGAGGAGGGGGUCGCGGCUGAUUAGCUAGUUGGUAGGGUAAUGGCCUACCAAGGCGAAGAUCGGUAUCCGGCCUGAGAGGGCGCACGGACACACUGGAACUGAAACACGGUCCAGACUCCUACGGGAGGCAGCAGUGGGGAAUUUUGCGCAAUGGGGGAAACCCUGACGCAGCAACGCCGCGUGGAGGAUGAAGUCCUUUGGGACGUAAACUCCUUUCGACCGGGACGAUUAUGACGGUACCGGUGGAAGAAGCCCCGGCUAACUUCGUG